UACGUAGGGUGCGAGCGUUGUCCGGAUUUAUUGGGCGUAAAGGGCUCGUAGGCGGCGUGUCGCGUCGGGAGUGAAAGACCGGGGCUUAACCCCGGUUCUGCUUCCGGUACGGGCAUGCUGGAGUGUGGCAGGGGAGACUGGAAGUUCCUGGUGUAGCGGUGGAAUGCGCAGAUAUCAGGAGGAACACCGGUGGCGAAGGCGGGUCUCUGGGCCAUUACUGACGCUGAGGAGCGAAAGCGUGGGGAGCGAACAGG
rnacentral:rRNA from 1 species